GGAGCAGUCUUGGCGAGAGGGGGUCCGGCUGGUUUCUUCACGGGAACAUCCUUCUUGGGAGGCAUGGUGUCGGGUGGCCAGAGGACAGUGUGCCGAUGGGGGCACCCAUCUCUGUUUAAAUAGCCAGGGAGUCCUGUGGGCUCCAGGAGUACACACCCCUCUUUCGCUCCCCAACCGGAGAGAUAACAAAAACCUCGGUGCAGGUGCCAGAUUACAAGCCUCACUGGGGGCGCAGGAGAAGGGUGCAAGUCAGCGGCCUUAGGGAGAGGGGAGGGGUUGCUGGCUACUUUUGUUCUGGGGAGAAAGGGGUGGAUUAGGUAGCUUUCUGAGGAAGAGAGUAGGGAUUCCAUUUAGGCCCGGUGGUUCAGAAAAUAGCUGCUGUCUUCCACUUGCAAAAAACCAACAACAACAACAACAAAAACACCCAAAAAACGUCUGAAACGCAAUACUGCAAAUUGUCCCAUUUCAGGAAAA